rnacentral:rRNA from 1 species
GAUGAACGCUGGCGGCGUGCUUAACACAUGCAAGUCGAACGGUGAAGCAGAGCUUGCUCUGUGGAUCAGUGGCGAACGGGUGAGUAACACGUGAGCAACCUGCCCUGGACUCUGGGAUAAGCGCUGGAAACGGCGUCUAAUACUGGAUAUGAGACGUGGCCGCAUGGUCAACGUUUGGAAAGAUUUUUUGGUUCAGGAUGGGCUCGCGGCCUAUCAGCUUGUUGGUGAGGUAAUGGCUCACCAAGGCGUCGACGGGUAGCCGGCCUGAGAGGGUGACCGGCCACACUGGGACUGAGACACGGCCCAGACUCCUACGGGAGGCAGCAGUGGGGAAUAUUGCACAAUGGGCGAAAGCCUGAUGCAGCAACGCCGCGUGAGGGAUGACGGCCUUCGGGUUGUAAACCUCUUUUAGCAAGGAAGAAGCGAAAGUGACGGUACUUGCAGAAAAAGCGCCGACUAACUACGUGCCAGCAGCCGCAGUAACAC